CACUUCUGGUGCUACCAUAUCAUUACAGUCAGCUGAGCUCAGUGGGACAACAUGGUUCAAUCUUUCAGCUAUUGAGCUUGGUCUUGUGGUUAGUGGUUCUCUUUAUGGGGCUCUUCUUGGUUCACUCCUUGUCUACCCAAUUGCGGAUUUUCUAGGAAGGAGGCGAGAACUUAUUAUAGCAGCUGUGCUAUAUAUGUUUGGUGGUCUGAUCACUGCUUGUGCUCCAGGCCUUGGUGUUCUCUUAGUAGGACGUCUUCUCUAUGGUCUUGGCAUUGGUUUGGCUAUGCAUGGUGCACCUCUCUAUAUUGCAGAAACUUGCCCAUCACCGAUUCGUGGAACUCUAAUAUCUCUAAAGGAACUGUUCAUAGUUCUGGGAAUUUUGUUGGGAUAUUUUGUGGGAAGCUUUCAAAUUAAUUCAGUUGGGGGGUGGCGUAACAUGUAUGGAUUUGGUGUGCCAAUUGCUUUUCUUAUGGGACUAGGCAUGUGGAGUCUCCCACCCUCUCCACGCUGGUUACUUCUCAGGGCAGUUCAAGGUAAAGGAUCUUUACAAGAUUACAAAGAGAAGGCCAUUUUUGCCUUGAGCAAGCUAAGAGGCCGGCUUCUGGGUGACAAAGUGUCUGAGAAGCAAAUAGAGGAUACCCUUGUCUCUCUGAAGUCUGCCUAUUCAGAGGAGGAUUCUGAGGGCAGUAUCUUAGAGGUGUUUCAAGGACCAAGUUUGAAAGCCUUCAUUAUUGCUGGAGGUUUGGUGUUUUUCCAGCAGAUAACUGGGCAACCAAGUGUUCUAUAUUAUGCCGGCCCAAUUCUUCAGGGUGCUGGAUUCUCUGCGGCUGCUGAUGCCACUCGAGUUUCUGUCAUUAUUGGUUUGUUCAAGUUGCUGAUGACAUGGAUAGCUGUUCUAAAAGUUGAUGAUCUUGGAAGAAGACCCUUGCUGAUUGGAGGUGUUGGUGGGAUUGUAUGUAUAUUGUUAUUCUUCUGUACAUUUUAUUUUCUUCCAAUGUUUCUCUCUUUCUCUCAUUAUUAUUAUUAUGAAGGUAAAUUCUGCUUUUUCUCUCUGCAUACCUUACAGGUUUUCUCCUUAUUUUUGCUUUCUGCUUAUUACAAAUUUCUUGGAGGGUUCCCAUUUGUUGCUGUUGCGGCUCUGCUUCUCUAUGUUGGUUGCUACCAGGCAAGUAAUUUUCUUUUGUUUGUUGGAAAUGUCUUCUCUGUUCUCAUCUGUGUUGGGUCAAAAACUCCUGCAAUAUAUGUUAUGUGAAAAAUCAAUAAGAAUGCUAUAUCAAAACAAGCUUGAUGAGCCAGAGAGGGGGAAAAAGAAAAGCAGAAAUUUUUACAUGGUCUGCUAUCUCUUAUGAUGAAAUUUUCCUUCUUCCCCAAAGUGCAAUUGGCUUUGGGUGACAAAUUCUCUUGUAACACCUUUUCCUUUUCUGUUGGAUCAAGGUGAAAGUUGAUUCUAAAAUUUCUGUUCUUUACAUAUCAUUUCAGAUAUCAUUUGGGCCUAUCAGUUGGCUAAUGGUGUCAGAAAUUUUCCCACUUCGCACUAGAGGAAAGGGCAUAAGUCUUGCAGUUCUUACUAACUUUGGUUCUAAUGCCAUUGUAACCUUUGUAUUCUCACCAUUAAAGGAGCUGCUCGGAGUUGAAAACCUUUUCCUUCUUUUUGGGGCUAUAGCUUUGUUGUCACUGUUGUUCACCAUAGUCUUUGUCCCAGAAACUAAAGGUUUGAGCUUGGAAGAAAUUGAAUCUAAAAUCUUGAAGUGAAAGCUCACAACUGUUGGAAACUUCUGUUGUAUGUUUCCAGCAAACAAAAAAGUUAUGGGUAGUUUGUCAGCAUAUCUAGUUGUGGUGUAGGAAGGUGAUUGAAUGCAACCUCAACUACGUAUUUGUGAAUAUCAUAUCAUGUGGAAAUUAUGUAUUUUAGAAGCUGUUUGGUAAAUAAGAAUAUACAUUGGAUAUUUGUGUGGAUAUUAUUGGAUCUUCCAAGUCAAUUCUAGUUUUUGAAUAAGAAUACGUCUUGGUGCUGCUUCUCUA
rnacentral:misc_RNA from 1 species